UGACGUAUAGUCUACUGAAUUCCCGUACACCGGAUUGAUCAUGUUCCGCGUGUUACGUGCACUGCUCAUGACGUGCCGGUUGCACGAGAGUAAAACGGUGAAGAGCAUUGUGCCUUUCUUUGUUAUCUUCGCCAUUUCAGUAAGAUGUCUGAUGACAUUUCUAACGAGUACGAUCGCCAACGGGUGCUGGAAGCCCACUUGAAACUAUGGAUUCAUCGAAAAGGACGGCCAUUUCAAAUCUGACCGCUGGGAUUUUCCAAAAGAUUUUCAGUUUGAGAAAAACGUGUCCACCAAAAAGAUCAUCAACUACUUUCAAUGGUCAGACAGUUCAUCCUGUCUAUUGGCACGAGACUUUGGGGGCACAAUAUCCAUCAGAACAUUGUACCGGUACAACAGACUGGAAGGACGAACGUCCGUUUGCUUCAAUCCGAAGGAAGUUGCCUUCCCCUGGACGGAUGCGUUGUGUAUGCGUUCAACGUCAACGAUGAAUGCGGAUUAAUGGUCUUUCGAGAAGGCCAUGGCAGCCUACAGCUUCCAAGUCUUUGCCUCCAAUCCUAGAACGCACAACGUUGGCGACCACAAUCGUUGGCUGAAAUAUCCGUUUCUUCCCCUUCAAAUAGGGCAGCAAAUCCUUGGAUAACUGGACCGGCGAGACGAAGAUAUCCACCAAAACGCUGGGCGACAUUUAUGAGCAGCUGUCUAUAUGGCACGGCGAAGAGCCCAUCAUCAAUUACCUGAAACUCGACAUUGAAUGGGCCGAAUGGCAUAUCCUACCCCAGAUCAUUGAAUCGGACAUGAUGGAUAAGGUCCGCCAGCUGGCAGUGGAAAUCCAUUUUCCGUACGGGGCACCAUUUUUUGAACGUGACCAAAGUUUGUCCCAGUUCAGGCGUUUGGCCAAUAUUGUACGAGCUGUUGAGAACUAUGGAAUGGUGCGCUUUAAUUCAAAGGCUGACCUGUCCUUCCAGGGAACAAUCCCGGCCCUGAAUUUCAGCGGCCCGUUGGCUUAUGAAAUCAAUUGGUACAACAGCCAUCUCUUUUAACACAUGUGCCGUUUAUCCUUUAGCACAUCACGUAUAUAGCCUGAACGAACAAGAAUGUGAACUAAAAAAAAAAAUGUGGCCCUCCAAGAGGGAUUUUCUAUUUCGGCACAUUUUCUGCACAUUUGGUUGGAAUGUAUAAUUGUCACGGAUCAUCAAGCCCGGGGCAAGUGUCUUUCAUUGGAAUUUCCAAUUUAAACUUAAAUAACUAUAUCUUUUGACAAUCUGACACAUUGGGAUUAAAACAAAAAAAAUCGUUUCUUAAUUGUUUAUUUUUGAAUAAUGUCGUCACAAUAAAUAAAUGUGCUACAUGAGAGAUUGAGGGGCGUCACACAUAUUUGCUUUUUAAGGUUUUUUUUGUUGCUUAGCGCGAAUACCUUCCGGUAGUAAGCUGGUUUUCGGGUAAUCGGGGCCGAGCCCUAGCUGCUAAUGAAUCGUUGUUACAACUUACAAGUGCAGUUUGUCCGCGACGUGGCGACGUCAAACAGAGACAACAUUCUCGAUAAAUAUGGGGAUAGGUACGAAACAGAUGACAAGACGACGCCCCCUAAUUUUCUUAAAAAACAAGUGGCGACACAGUUCUUGAAUGGCUCGACGACAGACAACGUCUUGCAGCACGACUUUUCGACAGUGUGUGAGUGUGAACAGUAUACAUCUGUGAUUAUGGAAUUGUAUUGCGUUCAUGGUGAAACUGGACGCGAAGUCACGACGUACGUAACAAGCAACGUGAAACUUGCGCGUGCAAAAGGCUAUCCAGCUGGCCUUUUGCAUUGAACUCUCUGCUUUAAUGAUGCCCGGGAACUAAAGCACUACAGUCCGGCCAUGGACCUUGAAAACAUCAUUUCCAAAAUUGCUUCAGAAUACAAAAAGGAGGGAAGUUGAUGGAUGCGGCCAACGUGAAUGGGCAAUGGCCCGCCAACAGACUCGAGUACACCGAAUCAUGUAGAUUUCGUUUCAUGUAUCCCAUUGAAUCCCACGUCACCAAAACAGCACCAUGGGCCUCAACAGAUUUCUUGAUCAUUUCGUCUUCAGUUCCGCUAUAGUUAUCGCGAGUCUCAUCCGACGCCAAUGAGACGAAUUUAAAGACGGCAAGAAGACGUAGACCUACAUCUCAUACCGAUGUACUCCUGGUACAUCGUGGGCAAACGAUGUGGCAACGAAUCACGGCGUUGUUUCUUCGAAAGACGAAGACACUCUGGAUGAGUUAUCGAACGUUGUUACACUAAAGCCGGUGGGCUAUUUAAGAGACAAAAGAUUCUUUUUCUAUCUGGUGACGACGACGACAGCCACCAGCUACACGUUCCUGUCGACAGCAGUCACGAAAACAGUUAACUUGUUGAGCCCAAUGCAUGCUCCGAUAGGACAGCUAGUUUGUCUUCCGCAGGGUUACACCGUCUGCGCUUAUCUUGGCACAUUGUUUCCACGCUAAGCUCAACCAGUUUCCAAAAUAAUAUUAUCCUCUAUUUUAUAUUAUUUUGAAAGACAUUAAAGUUCUGUUUUUCAUCGUUGUUUGUCUCGCAUACGUUGUCGUCGAAUCUGAUUUUCAUGCAGCUUUAUCCUUCGGUUUGAAUUCUUUGCCAUCAUAUUAUUUAGGUUAAUGUAAUCCGAUAAAAGGAACAUCAAAAUGCAAUUUAAGAAAAUAAUACAACAACUAGUUCCUUUA